UACGAGGGGAGCAAGCGUUGUUCGGAUUUACUGGGCGUAAAGGGCGCGUAGGCGGCGUGACUAGUCACUUGUGAAAUCUCCGGGCUUAACUCGGAACGGUCAAGUGAUACUGUCGUGCUAGAGUACAGAAGGGGCAAGUGGAAUUCUCGGUGUAGCGGUGAAAUGCGCAGAUAUCAGGAGGAACACCGGUGGCGAAGGCGGGUCUCUGGGCAAUAACUGACGCUGAGGAGCGAAAGCGUGGGGAGCGAACAGG
rnacentral:rRNA from 1 species